AACUGCUACAUCUAAUUAUAAAUAAGAACUGAAAUUGAAAGACUUUUCAGAUCGGUUUUAUCGUUGGUACUGUGAUGGUGCAAAGCUUGUUCCGAGUCGCUUCAAGAGUUGCAACUUUGAACACCUUCUUGAGACAUGCUGAACGGCGUGUCUACUUAAAUACCUUUCAUAAGGCGCGAUCGAAUUCAACCGUCGCAUGGCCGCCACCGAAAUUACUCAAAAAUUAUGCCAAAUUUCAAAUUGAAGAUGGAACGCCCGUUUAUCUUAAAGGUGGUGCGACAGAUCGGUUACUUUUCGGAGCGACGGUUACGUUGAUCGCGUUGGGAAUGUUCGACGGUUUUUAUACCCUGUUAACUAUGGCUUUCCCCAAAAAGAAGAAUUAAAUUUAUAACACCAAUCAAAAAGAAAUUAAGUCGAAAAGAACACAAGAAGAUGUAAAAUUAUGAUCAAGAUCUAAAAACUAAUUAAUUAUUAUUAUGUAAUUAGAUUAAGAUUAUGUAACUUUGUAAAUUUAAGAUGAAAAUGUUGCAAAAAUUUGACAAAUUAAGGCACGGUUUUAUUAUCUGAAGUGCGAUGAUUGCAAAAAAAAAAGUAUAAAAAUUAAUUUUAUGGAAGGAAAAUUUAAAAAACAAAAAAUAAACAAAAAAAAUUGUAAAUGUGAACCGUAUCGUUUUUUGGACGGACUAUUUUAAUAAUAUUAGGUUGUAACUAACGAUAAUUUGUAAUGUAAGGAAUAAAUAAUGGUAACGGAAAA